rnacentral:misc_RNA from 1 species
GAUAUCAGUAGCUGAGAAAGCUUGUAACUUCCAAGAAGAGCCAUCCAUAAUAGUAAAAUAUAUCUAAAAGUUCAAUCAAUCUAUGCAUUUUAUACUUGAGAGAAAGAAUAAAAAAAAUUAGUAUGUUGAGGAAAAAGUACAGUGAUUUAAAAUUCAGAAACUGAAGUUUGUUUGACAAAGCUGUACAAAAUUAUUAAUCAACUACAAACAACCCCGGACCCCGACCCACAAGCAGGUCAAAAUCUGAUUAAAUAC